rnacentral:pre_miRNA from 1 species
CUGGAGGGGGAGCAGCAAGGACUAGGGACCCAAGAGACAGAGAAUUAAUUUCUUGGUACUCCUGCCCUUGCAGAUUGUGAAUGCCCUGG